UUUCCGUAGGUGAACCUGCGGAAGGAUCAUUAUUGAAUAAACUUGGUUGGGUUGUUGCUGGCUCUUCGGAGCAUGUGCACGCCUAGCGCCAUUUUUACCACCUGUGCACUUCUUGUAGAUUUGAAACACCUCUCGAGGAAACUCGGUUUGAGGAUUGCUGCGCGCAAGCCAGCUUUCCUUGCGUUUCAGGUCUAUGUUUUUAUAUACCCCAUAAGAAUGUUUUAGAAUGUCAUUAAUGGGCUUUAUUGCCUUUAAAUUAAUACAACUUUCAACAACGGAUCUCUUGGCUCUC
rnacentral:misc_RNA from 1 species